UCCUACGGGAGGCAGCAGUGGGGAAUAUUGCACAAUGGGCGCAAGCCUGAUGCAGCCAUGCCGCGUGUAUGAAGAAGGCCUUAGGGUUGUAAAGUACUUUCAGCGGGGAGGAAGGUGAUAAGGUUAAUACCCUUAUCAAUUGACGUUACCCGCAGAAGAAGCACCGGCUAACUCCGUGCCAGCAGCCGCGGUAAUA
rnacentral:rRNA from 1 species